rnacentral:lncRNA from 1 species
GAUGGUUGAGUUAACAAAGGAGGCUAGAGGCUGGACAUUACAGAAGUCUUUCCAUCUGCUCACUGAUUCAGAUUUAGGAAUACGACUAUGCACAAUGUUACGCUUCAUUGCACCCUAGAAGGGCUUUGCCUAAACCCAACUUUACACCAUAAUUAACGCUUUAAGAAACCAACCAUAUUUUUCAACAGACUUUCUUCCUUAUAUUUGUCAUUUAAUCUUACGGCAGACAUUAUAUUAUACUGAAAUACGUUUUUUCUAUUUGUAUCUAAAUGAUCAAAAGCUACACGUAUGAAUAUUUUGACACGGCUGGCAUUCACUGAUUUCACUAGUAGAGAACUGCAUGAGCACACAGUUGCAUUUCCUUGACAGAGCUAUUCAAUUAAAUGCCUUAUAUAUCCGUGUUAUGUUUGCAUCUGUACCCCAGAAAAUAAGGCAGAAUGAACAGUUUAUGAGCAUUUUUGAAGUCUUUGGAGACCUGUGUGGCUUAAACGGAUCAAUACUUCUAAAUAAUUCAGUGAUCUACGGUCAACACACAGAAACUGGUUUCACAAACAAUCUAUGGGGAAUUAAUUUUUUUUCUUGAUUCCUGUGUUUCAGGAUAAAUGAGCUUGUUAGAGGUGAAGGACGUUCAGCAUGACUCUUCUGGAGUGGGGGGGUCUACAAGAUCUUCACCAAAGUUCAUGGUCAGUAUGCAACCUUGUAAAGUUAGUUUGAUAUGAACAUAUAUUGGUGUUGAGCAUUGACAGUCUAUUUUCAGAUAUUCAGUGGCAUGGUAUCUCAUUUAUAGAAUACCUGAUAGCACUCUUCAUGCAGCUUUCUUGACUUACCAUUCACUUGGCCAUUUGGUACGCAAAGACCCCAUACAUGAUUCGUCGGUGGAUAACUGUGGUGCAAGUGUUGAGCCUGAUUUUCCAUAGUGCAGUGAGGAUUAAUCAACUGAAAAUGUAAUGUUUGGAGGUCUCCUUGAACUU